rnacentral:rRNA from 1 species
GCUACGGGAGGCAGCAGUAGGGAAUCUUCCACAAUGGGCGAAAGCCUGAUGGAGCAACGCCGCGUGGGUGAAGAAGGUCUUCGGAUCGUAAAACCCUGUUGUUAGAGAAGAAAGUGCGUGAGAGUAACUGUUCACGUUUCGACGGUAUCUAAACAGAAAGACACGGCUAACUACGUGCCAGCAGCCGCGGUAAUACGUAGGUGGCAAGCGUGAUCCGGAUUUAGUGGGCGUAAAGGGAACGGAGGCGGGCUUGUAAGUCUGCUGUGAAAGCCUUCGGCUUAACCGGAGUAGUGCAUUGGCAACUGGGAGACUUGAGUGCAGAAUAGGCGAGUGGCACUCCAUGUGUAGCGGUGAAAUGCGUAGAUAUAUGGAAGCACACCAGUGGCGAAGGCGGCUCUCUGGUCUGUAACUGACGCUGAGGUUC